AUAAUUUUAAAAAUUGCAAAUAUAUUGCAUUUAUUUAUGUAGAUAAAUAAUAAUAUUUCUAAUCAUUAUAUAAGUUAAUUAAAUUUUUUCACAAUUGCACAUGGAUUUUGACCACAUGGUCUAUAUUCUUCUGUAAAUAGAAAAGUCCCAAGAAUGAUUACAUGAUUACAUGAUUUUGUAAUCUGUAGCAUUUAAAAAUGAUUUUAUUGAAUGGCAUAAUCAUUUUGUUGGCUUAUUUUCGCGAAUUAUAUAAAACUGGAUUCUUAUCGUAUUAUUCAUACUUUUUGAUGAGCUGUUUUAUCUAAAUACGUACGAAUUGAAAUGAUUAAUUUUGAUUAAUUUUCUUCUUUAUGUUAAUUUUGAUUUCAAUUAUGGUAAUAGACUGCGAAUGUUUAUGAAAAUAAAAUAUAAGUCAAAAUAACAAAUAUUCAAAAAAUAUGUAAAUAAAUAUAUAGGAAAUUUGCAGGAUAUGCACGAAACAUGGUGAUUUAUAUUGUUAUUUUUAUUUGUUAAUUCUAAUUACAAUGAAUUACCACAGCUUUCUCUAAGUUAUCGAUUGUAAAUUGAUGAUACUUAUCAAUUAAUAUUAAUUUGUAUAUCCAAAAAAGAUUGUUCUACAUCGCAAGAGGUAAUUAGGUCAUAUUUCAAUUUGUUUUUCAAGCUUUUUUAGUCUUUCAACAUGUCUGCAAUUUUUGAUAUAGCAUUAAAAUUUGGAUUUGUCUCUAGAACUGUUUGUAUUUUUUUAGAAAUUUUUCUUCCACAGUCACCAGUUUUUAAAUUCUCAAUAGUUUGAUUAAUUAAUUCCACAAAUUUAAUUAGGAACAACUAUUAUAAUGAAUGAUAAUAUUCCGAAAUACGCUCGUUAAAUCUAGCAUAAUCUGUUUUUCGUAAUACUUUUUAUGUUAUAUGUUAAUCGAUAUUGCAUCUUGAAACUUUCAUUUACCUCUUUGACAUAAUCGAAACGUGUGGCAUAAAAUAAUAUUACUUCUAACCAUAUCUCUCAUCUUGUUAUAAUAUGUUGUUAUGAUUGUUCAGGUGUUAAUGGAAUAUUUUCUAGUCUCUUUCGAUAACGCUAUACACGGAGGAAACAAAAAAAAUUUUUUUAAUCAAAGACAUCAGGUUGUUGAUUAAAGAAAAAUGUAUUCGAACUUCUCUAUUUAAUCCAUCAAACAAGUUAUAAGAGAUGACCAUAACUUUAUUCUGAAUAUAUAAGUCGAGUAAUUUAUAAAUCGUGGUUGUAUGAUUUACAGUUGUUUACAAACCAGCAAGUAGGAUAUUGAUAUUUCAUUUUUACAUAGCAUUCUCACAAUCAGAUUUGCAAAUCUAUUGUUUCGUCUGUGAAUAUCCAGAAUAUAAAUAUUCAUAAUUUUCAUCAAUAUUUUUUCGAAAUGUAGAUUCGUAGAUAUCUCGAUUGGGAUAUUUUUUUUUAAAUUUUUCCACACUGUAUUGUUCAGACAUCAUCAAAGCAUGUUUAUAACAAUAGAUUGAUUCAUAUGUAUAAAAUUAAUUUUUUUUUUAAUUGGAUGCAUUUAUUUGUAUACUGAUAAUUGCUAAUGCAAUAUUGGUUUCUUUAAUAUUUCUUCUAUGCAAAGCAUGCUUUAUUCGCAUAUUGCGUUAACUAUGACAUUUUUUUCACAUUUAAUUUUAAUAGUUGAAUAUGAAAUAUAUUAGAUUAUUAAUAUUUUACUUAAUUCUUUUAGUACCGAAAUAAUUGUAUUAAGCGAAGAAUAUAGCUUGAUUGUGUAUAAGCAAAAUACCAAUUUGAUAUAAUUUGGUAAAACUUGACAAAAAAAAAUCAUAAAAAAAAAAGUAAUAGUGAUAUUUACAAAAUUCAAAAAGGAAUUCAUAUUGCGAUUAUAAAGGGAGAAUAAAUUAAUGCUAAUUAUAUUUCAAUAUUUGAAAAUCAUUUAUAUAUUAAUAAUAUUUAUUCAAAAUCGUUAGGAAAAAUAGAAAAUUUCUUUUAUAAACAAUAUUUGCAAAUAAAAAUUAUCGUUUGGUUAUAAUUUGACAUAAAACACGUAAUAUUAAACGUAAAUACUAUAUUAUAAUACUAUAUUAUAUAAAUAUAAUACAUAAAUACAUUUUAAUUAUAUGUAAUAUUAAUACAUAUUAAUUAUAUGUAUUUUUAAUAAUGAAAUACAAAACUAAAUGACAAUCCCAUGAUGUGCAGCAAACGUUAGGAAGAUUACUUGCUAUAAAACAAGUAAUUCGUGUAGCCAGUACAACAUCACUGAAAUACAAUUCAAAUAUUAUUAUAAACAUUUAUAGUUAUCCGAAAAGUUAUUAGAAAUGUUUAAUAUUUACUUAUUGUUAUUCACAUAAAUAAUUUAUUCAGCAUCGAUGGUUAGUAAUCCAUAUACCGUGUAAUCCUUUGUUACAGAAAUUACAAAUUGUACCUGAUCUUUUCAUAAAUAUAAACUUUUUCCAGGAAGUUUUCUUAUACCUGUUGCAUUUCACCCAACAAUCUUGUUGGUUCUCCUUCUAUCCAUUCUUUCGUUAUCGAUUGAAUUGUAUCAUUUAAAAA